rnacentral:rRNA from 1 species
UACGUAGGUGGCAAGCGUUGUCCGGAUUUAUUGGGUUUAAAGGGUGCGUAGGCGGGUAUUUAAGUCAGAGGUGAAAGACGGCCGCCUCAACGGUCGCAGUGCCUUUGAUACUGGAUAUCUUGAGUGCAGACGAGGUCUGUGGAAUGGAUGGUGUAGCGGUGAAAUGCUUAGAUACCAUCCAGAACACCAAUUGCGAAGGCAGCAGACUAGGGUGCAACUGACGCUGAGGCACGAAAGUGCGGGAUCAAACAGG